rnacentral:rRNA from 1 species
GGUUCCCCGAUCAAAAAAAAUGAGGAAUCAGGCCUGCCCAGUGAAAUUUUAACGGCCGCGGUACUCUGACCGUGCAAAGGUAGCAUAAUCAUUUGCCUUAUAAUUGAAGGCUAGUAUGAAUGGUUUGACGUGAGCGACGCUGUCUACUUUUAUAUUUUCUAUAAAUUAACCUUUAGGUGAAGAGGCCUAAAUUUAAUUAAAGGACAAGAAGACCCUGUCGAGCUUAAAAGCUUAGAAAGGAAUUAUUAUUAACAAAAUUUAUUUCUUUUAUAAUUUUUUAGUUGGGGCGACUAAGGAACAAAUAAAGCUUCUUCCAUCAAGAUAGCCAAUAAGCCAAGACCCAGUUUACUGAGCAAGAAAAUUAGUUACCGCAGGGAUAACAGCAUAAUCUCUCUUGAGAGACCAAAUCGAAAGGGGGGGGUUGUGACCUCGAUGUUGGACUAGAAUAUCCUAAAGAUGCAGACGUCUUUGAGGGUUGGUCUGUUCGACCAUGAAAAUUC